rnacentral:rRNA from 1 species
GAUGAACGCUGGCGGCAUGCCUAAUACAUGCAAGUCGAACGAAGUGACCUUCAGAAGUGGAAGUGCUUGCACAGAAGCGGAAGAAGAUUAUCACUUAGUGGCGAACGGGUGAGUAACACGUGGGUAACCUGCCCUUCAAACUGGGAUAACUAUUGGAAACGAUAGCUAAUACCGGAUAGGUAAUACUGAGGCAUCUCGGUAUUAUUAAAGGUGCGUAUGCACCAUUGAAGGAUGGACCCGCGGUGUAUUAGCUAGUUGGUGAGGUAACGGCCCACCAAGGCGAUGAUACAUAGCCGACCUGAGAGGGUGACCGGCCACAUUGGGACUGAGACACGGCCCAAACUCCUACGGGAGGCAGCAGUAGGGAAUUUUCGUCAAUGGGGGAAACCCUGAACGAGCAAUGCCGCGUGAGCGAAGAAGGAUUUCGGUCUGUAAAGCUCUGUUGUAAAGGAAGAAAACCAGAAAGAGGAAAUGCUUUUUGGGUGACGGUACUUUACCAGAAAGCCACGGCUAACUACGUGCCAGCAGCCGCGGUAAAAC